UACGUAGGGUGCAAGCGUUGUCCGGAAUUAUUGGGCGUAAAGAGCUCGUAGGCGGUUUGUCGCGUCUGCUGUGAAAACCCGAGGCUCAACCUCGGGCCUGCAGUGGGUACGGGCAGACUAGAGUGCGGUAGGGGAGAUUGGAAUUCCUGGUGUAGCGGUGGAAUGCGCAGAUAUCAGGAGGAACACCGGUGGCGAAGGCGGGUCUCUGGGCAACAACUGACGCUGAGGAGCGAAAGCGUGGGGAGCGAACAGG
rnacentral:rRNA from 1 species